ACCAGUGUGGCAUAGUGGUUUGAGUGUUGGACUAUGACUCUGGAGGCCAGGGUUCAAAUCCUGGCUUGGCCA